GACGAACGCUGGCGGCGUGCUUAACACAUGCAAGUCGAACGGAAAGGCCCUGCUUUUGUGGGGUGCUCGAGUGGCGAACGGGUGAGUAACACGUGAGUAACCUGCCCUUGACUUUGGGAUAACUUCAGGAAACUGGGGCUAAUACCGGAUAGGAGCUCCUGCUGCAUGGUGGGGGUUGGAAAGUUUCGGCGGUUGGGGAUGGACUCGCGGCUUACCAGCUUGUUGGUGGGGUAGUGGCUUACCAAGGCUUUGACGGGUAGCCGGCCUGAGAGGGUGACCGGCCACAUUGGGACUGAGAUACGGACCAGACUCCUACGGGAGGCAGCAGAGGGGAAUAUUGGACAGUGGGCGGAAGCCUGAUGCAGCAACGCCGCGUGCGGGAUGACGGCCUUCGGGUUGUAAACCGCUUUCGCCUGUGACGAAGCGUGAGUGACGGUAAUGGGUAAAGAAGCACCGGCUAACUACGUG
rnacentral:rRNA from 1 species